rnacentral:rRNA from 1 species
UAGCGUAUAUUAACGUUGUUGCAGUUAAAAAGCUCGUAGUUGAAGUGAGGGAGUGUGUGGGUAUGAGAGCUAGUCUCAAGUACUUACAACCUCCCCCCUCCAAUCGGUGUAGUGGGGUAUUCAGUUAUUCUACUACUCCUUUGGUCGUUUACUGUGAGAAAAUUAGAGUGUUCAAAGCGGGCGUUUGUUUGAAUAGAUUAGCAUGGAAUAAUGAUUGAAGGCUUUCGUGUUCGAUUUGAUUGGUUUGUUCAUGGAAGCAAGGUUAAAAGGAACAGUUGGGGGUAUUCAUAUUCACUAGUUAGAGGUGAAAUUCUCGGAUUUAUGGAAGAUGAACAAGUGCGAAAGCA